rnacentral:lncRNA from 1 species
AGCAGGUUCCCUGUGGGGAGCCCAAUGUGAGACUCAAUCCCAGGACCCAACCAUUGAGCCAUCCAGGUGUCCCUAGAGAGUUUCUAUAUUUUUCUCAGUUAUAAUAUGGAAAAAAACCCUGGAUUUUCAAAUAACUCAUCCAAGAUACUAUAGCUAACAAUUUUAAAAAACAGGUCUAAAUUCAAAUUUUCCAGUUUCUAGGGUAGAGCUCUUUUCAGAAAAGCAACUCAGCUAGUUGCCUCCCUCCUCUUGUAUAAAUUGUUUGGAAAGUCUUCAAGUUUAGUUAUAAUAACAAUAUUUUUAGUAUAUAUAGACAUUUGCUAUGUUAAUGAGAUAUUACUUGGCAACUGUUAUUUACUAAAUAACAUGCACAUGUGUCUCAUUAAACAACAUGUAAAACAGCUGACUCACCACAAUUUAACAUCAAUUCAGAAAGUACUAAUGUAGACUAAACCCUUAGGCACUAGGACAUAAUAAUUUAUAAGAUACAACAAAUAUCUUAGAAUAAAACAAGUUUUGCUGUAAUUAAUUAAAUAUGAUCCCAAAUCACUAGAGCUUAAAAUUUCAUUUUUCUCAAACCACAUGACCCUUUUUGGGUGACCAUGAGUCUGUUGUCCUCAUAAAGUAACCUGGCUACCCUUACUGACUUUUUCUUACACAUUUUCCCACAAUCCACAUGGCAGGGGAUAAGAAUAUGGCCCAUCACUCUGAUUAUUAAAGUUUCAGUACAAAGGUGGCUCAGAUCAUAAGGCUUAUUUGAAAAUGGUUAUGGCAGGACAAUCAUACCAUGCGUUUGGAAGGAGGGGGUCAGAAUAUCUACAAACAGUCCUAAUGAUUCUCAAAACUUCUGUCCUGGAGCUAUUCAUAGUAUUUUGGAGAAGACAGCAAGUAAACACAUAAGUAAUUAUAAUAACAUGAUAAAUCGGGAAAACUAUAGUUGGGGACAAAGUAAUCUGUGGAGUGGAAUACAAUAAUUAAAUUUUCUUGGAGGAAACAGAAAAUACUUCUUAGAGAAACUGGCAUAUGACUUGACCUAUAAAGAUAAACUUAUUAAGUAGAUCAUGAAAGACAGCAUUCUAUUCAUAAACCUCAAAUAAAUUCCUGUUUAUAUGCAAUUGAGAACCACUUAAACCAGCAUAAAGACCUAGUUUUAAUGAACUAAUCACAUUAAGUUAUAUGGUUUUAGAUAAAAUACUUUGCCUCUCUAGACCACAAGCUUCAUGAUGAUAUAAGAAAGAUGAACUAAUAAGAAUGUUUUCAACUUUAAUGUUAUAUAUUGGAAUUUUUUGUGUUGGAAAUUUGUCAGUAAUUUGCAAGUCCUAACAUUUUGCUAAUCAUUACAUAUCAAAGAAGGGCAAAUGGCAGGUAUUACAAAUGAGUCUGCACUUUGUAGACCAAUUCUAGUUAUUUAGAAGGGUCUGAGUAAGAAGUAACCUGAAAAUAAAAUGGUGUGAAUCACUGACAAUGUCUCCUAUGGAUCCAGAAGUAAAGGUGGGAUUGAGUAGAGAUGUAGGAGUAGUUAUCCCCAAGAGUUCUUUCUAUAGAAGUGGUGCCAUUUAAACGGUUGUUAGGCCUGUGAUAAAAAUAAAUUGGCAUGAUAUUGGUGAUAUAUGGUGAUAUCACACCAGUAUAUUUUUAUCACAGGCCUAACAAUGGAUGAAAUGGCACCAAUUUUAUAGUGAUAUAUUUUAUAUAUCACUUUUUUAUAGUGGUAUAUAUCCUAAAUACACACACACACACACACACACACACACACACACACACACACACACCUCCUGUGUGAUAUAUAAAAUUUUGAUAGCGAUAAAUGAAUCAUCUAGUAGCCAGAGUGUUCCUUACCUUUCUUUAACACACUCACUCUCUCACUCAUGAAUGCAGAAGAUUAAUUCACCCAGGACCUAGCACCUAGUUUUAACCAGCCACACCAGAACCAGGGAUUUCCUUUUUUAUACUGAAACCUGUCUUUGAAUCUGGGAGCAUGCAAUAAAAUUGGUGGAGAAAAAGAAAGCAUAGAAAAAUUAAACCGGCAAUGAGAAGUAGAAAAUAGAGGGAAAAGUAGAGAAUGCCAUUUAAAACGUGGAUAUUCUAGUUUCUUCCAUUCUUUAAACGAACUAUUCUUGGUUUUAUGAUUUUUUUCCUAAAUAAAGUGAAGGCUAAAACCUAUUCUCAAAAUAUCUCCAUACUUUAAAAUACCUCCAUAUAGAUGUAAGUAGUUUUAUAGCAUUAUAUAAGUCCUAGCAAAUGAGAAUUUAUCAUCCAAUUGAAAUAAUUAUUAAAUGAUAAGCCAUUUAUUCUGCUUUCAGCAAAGAAUAAUGAUUGAAUGAAAAUGAGUUGCCAGGCAAUGAACUAUUUCUUGAUUAAAUAGAAUAGUGUAGGUUUAUGUUUUCCUUUUCUGGUAAAUAAACUACUUACCUGUGUAACUGUCAUAAAAUGUGUAUUUUAGAUUGAAAUAUAUAGAUAGAACAAAUCCCAGUGUACAGUGUUUCUGCUUUACUCCAUUGAAAAUUCCUUUCCAGAAGUCAGCAGCUAUGUAUAAUUUUCAAAUGUAUUUUUUCCAAAACAUUUCUUAGUUCAAGACUUAUAACUAUUUAUUUCCUCUUAUCAAGUACUUAGAGAUUCAAGGCUUGUGCCGUUGAUUACAACUAACCCAAUUAUAAGGGAAAAUAAGUAGAGGAAACAUUGGGAAGAAAUACGAAAUGUGUGAGUGAAAGUGGUAUAUAACAACAUAAGGUCUAGUUUUAAUUGCCCCCAAGUAAUACUAAUUAUUUCAAUCUAUUUUAUAAUAGAAAUCCAAUAAGUAAUACAGAAAUAUUUUAAUUAACCCAUCGGAGUAUAAACUUGCUUAAUUUAUUAUUCAAUUAUUGGUUGUAAAUAGAUAACUUUUAGUGAUGCUGCCAUGGGUAAAAUAGCUGUAUCUAGAAAGCACUUAAUCCAAUUAAUAAUUAUAAAACAUAAUGAUACCUAAUUUGAUUUUCUAUUAUUUUCUAACACUUUGUGUUCUCUUCUGCUCUGCACUCUUACAAACAUAUUCACCAUACACAAACCAUAUACAUUUAGAAAAAUGUAUCAGCAAACCAACACCAUAAUUUCUUUGUAAGACAACGAAAUUGCAUUUGGACAUUAGUUAUUGAUGUUGUAUUUGUUUAUUACUUGUUUGGUUUGUUUGUUUUAUUUAUUUGGCAUUUUAUUACUUCUAGCAAUACUGCCAUAGGGAUAGACCCUUAAAACAUUUGAAGAUAGCUCUUUGAUAUCAAUGAACUUAGAUCUAUAUACAAAUCACCACGAUAUGUCAUUUACAUGUAAUAUUUCCCCAGUUCUCCCUACAAUUACUGUGCUAUUAGUCUUUGAAGGGGCCAAGGAAUUAUUAUUAUUUUUAAAAAUGAGAAAACUGAAGCUUAGAUUAAAUGAAUUGCCCAGUGAUAGUAGUUAUGUGAUUUUGGACUCAAAAUAAGGUGUACCAAAUUGCAUAAUGUUCUUUAUGUAGAAGGAAAAUUAUUGCAAAUAUUUUCAGAGAUAACUUUAUAAAACUAGGCAACAGCUAUGUAAAAAUGAAGAAACCCUAUGUAGGUAUUGGAGGAGUUUGCACUAAGUUAGGAUGUCGCAUUAACUGUUAUGUCUAACUAUCCUUAAUUACCUGAUUAGAAAACUAUACUUCUAGACAAGUGUUAUCCAAUACAAUAGCCACCAGCCACAUGUGGCCAUUUAAAUAUAAGCGUAAAAUCUGACAUUAAAUAAAAGUAAAAAUUUGGUAUUCAUUUACACAAACUACAUUUCCAGUGUUCAAGUACUCAACAGUCAUAUGUAGCUAAUGAUUACUGCACAGUACACAGUACAAAUGGAGAUUUCCAUUAUCAUAGAAUGUUUU